rnacentral:rRNA from 1 species
GGAGGAAAAGAAACCAACAGGGAUUGCCCCAGUAACGGCGAGUGAAGCGGCAACAGCUCAAAUUUGAAAUCUGGCCCCCCGGGGCCCGAGUUGUAAUUUGCAGAGGAUGCUUUUGGCGAGGCGCCUUCCGAGUUCCCUGGAACGGGACGCCACAGAGGGUGAGAGCCCCGUCUGGUUGGAUGCCGAGCCUCUGUAAAGCUCCUUCGACGAGUCGAGUAGUUUGGGAAUGCUGCUCUAAAUGGGAGGUAUAUGUCUUCUAAAGCUAAAUAUUGGCCAGAGACCGAUAGCGCACAAGUAGAGUGAUCGAAAGAUGAAAAGCACUUUGAAAAGAGGGUUAAAUAGUACGUGAAAUUGUUGAAAGGGAAGCGCUCAUGACCAGACUUGGGCCCGGUGAAUCAUCCAGCGUUCUCGCUGGUGCACUUUGCCGGGCUCAGGCCAGCAUCAGUUCGCCCCGGGGGAGAAAGGCUCUGGGAAUGUGGCUCCUCCGGGAGUGUUAUAGCCCUCUGCGCAAUGCCCUGGGGCGGACUGAGGUCCGCGCAUCUGCAAG